rnacentral:misc_RNA from 1 species
UCUGACACUGCUUUCAGCUUAUCCUGGGAUUUUCCAAAGAAAACACAUUUGCAGCCUUUGUCACAUCUACCUACCCGACUGGUGGAGAAUUCAGAAUACAGCAGUUUGAUAAAAAAAGGAAGUAUGAUCAUUAAAAUAAAACCCUCCGAGGAAACAAUUCAAAUUUGUAAUUUUGGGAAUAUCUCAGGAGUCAGGACCUCCGAAGCAUUCAUUGCAUGCGUCCAUUCCUCAGAUGACCAAGUCAGAAAAGAACCUAUUUUACACGCACAAAUUCGGGAAUCAGACGCGCACCUAGAACUCAAGAACUGGACACCCUAAACCCUCUAGUAGAAUGCGCGAGUUUUAAACAACCACCGUCAUUCCCGAACCCCACAGAGGGAAAAAUAAGUCCUCGUUCAUCUCCACACCAGCCAAUAACCUGAACACAGUACAAAGCCUCCCAACCGGGCCCUAGGGCCGGCGCGAACCGAAAUUCCCCAAGAACCCUGCCCAAGAAACUGCGCACGGCACCAAGCACCAACACUAACGAGAGCCAGCGUCCGUUCCAUCCACCCGGCCGCGACGACGAUCCAAUCGACACGCAACCGCGCAACAAGCGCGACGAGGUAGCGGGAGACGGGGAGGAAUCGGGAGCGCGUACGUACUGCGGCGCGCUGCGCGUCGGCGU